UACGGAGGGUGCAAGCGUUCAUCGGAAUUACUGGGCGUAAAGCGCGCGUAGGUGGCUUGAUAAGCCGGUUGUGAAAGCCCCGGGCUCAACCUGGGAACGGCAUCCGGAACUGUCAGACUAGAGCGCAGGAGAGGAAGGUAGAAUUCCCGGUGUAGCGGUGAAAUGCGUAGAGAUCGGGAGGAAUACCAGUGGCGAAGGCGGCCUUCUGGAUUGACACUGACACUGAGGUGCGAAAGCGUGGGUAGCAACCAGG
rnacentral:misc_RNA from 1 species